GACGAACGCUGGCGGCGUGCCUAAUACAUGCAAGUCGAGCGGAUUGAUGGGAGCUUGCUCCCUGAUAUCAGCGGCGGACGGGUGAGUAACACGUGGGCAACCUGCCUAUAAGACUGGGAUAACUUCGGGAAACCGGAGCUAAUACCGGAUAAUCCCUUUCCUCUCAUGAGGAAAGGCUGAAAGAUGGUUUACGCUAUCACUUAUAGAUGGGCCCGCGGCGCAUUAGCUAGUGGGUGAGGUAACGGCUCACCAAGGCAACGAUGCGUAGCCGACCUGAGAGGGGGGUCGGCCUCACUGGGACUGAGACACGGCCCAGACUCCUACGGGAGGCAGCAGUAGGGAAUCUUCCGCAAUGGACGAAAGUCUGACGGAGCAACGCCGCGUGAGUGAUGAAGGUUUUCGGAUCGUAAAAAUCUGUUGUUAGGGAAGGACAAGUACGAGAGUAACUGCUCGUACCUUGACGGUACCUAACCAGAAAGCCACGGCUAACUACGUGCCAGCCGCCGCAGUAA
rnacentral:rRNA from 1 species